rnacentral:misc_RNA from 1 species
GCAAACUUGGUCAUUUAGAGGAAGUAAAAGUCGUAACAAGGUUUCCGUAGGUGAACCUGCGGAAGGAUCAUUAACGAAUUAUAAAAUUGUCGAAAGACGAUUUUUUUUUCUAUUUCAAACACCUGUGAACGAUUAUAAAACAUUUGCUUUGGCCAAAAAGUAAAAUUUUUGGCCAAAGGAUUUUAUAACAAAACUCUGUUUAUUUUAACAAUCUUGUCUGAAAAUGAUUAAAAUUAAUAAAUCAAAACUUUCAACAACGGAUCUCUUGGUUCUCGCAUCGAUGAAGAACGCAGC